ensembl:lncRNA
CCCCCAACGAAAGAUAAAAAGUUUCUUCGUUCCCCUUUUCCCCAAUUGCAGAGCUCUCCUCCGUCCGGGAUCGGCCCCUCUUUCUCCUUUCUUUUUCCCCUUCCACCUCCUCCCCCCAACUGGGAAUUUCCUUCGGCUUGGCUUGGGUGCGUGUGUGUCUGCGGGUGUGUGUCUGUCUGUGUGUGUCGUCGAGCGUGUUCGGCCGGCGCGGCGGGGGCGCCUGCUGUUGUUGUGUCGUCGGGUGAAGUCCCUUCUCGGUUAGCAGCAGUCGUCCUCGUCGGUUUCGCUAUAAGUUUCAUCAAACACAAGAUGCACUCGGAUGAGAAUCAGAGGAUUAAGAUCCUGGCAUACUGAGGAAAAUAACUCAUUUUGGAAGAAUGAGAAGAAAUGGAGGACUGAUAAGGAAUGCAAAAGAAAAAUGAACUGCAGCUUCAUUCCAAACUUUCCAGAUUCACAGACCCCAUAGAGUUCAGCGCCACCAGCCUAACAACAAAGGGGGUCACACCACAGACACUGGAGAAAGAGACCAGCGAGCUGGGCAGGGCCAUCUGCUGGAUUGGUUUUUUUUUUUUUUUUGUUCUCUGCUCACCAACCAUCUUACCUGCGCCCGCCCCUCGCCGUGACAGCAGAGCCAAGCACAACGGAUACAGAAAUAAACAUGUGAAUAAAGGCAGAUUGGCCAGGAGACCCCAAGUGUCCAAAUUGUCCCAAGGAAACAAAAAGGAACAACAAUAGCAACAACAAAAAGACUUUGCAUGGGGUAAUGGGGAAGCCAGAAUGAAAAUAACAAAAUAUAGGGCCUAAAAGCGCAUUUCACUGAGUACUUGCCGUUUCAUUCCUGAAAACUACCCCAUGAAAUUGCAAAAGAUCUUAUAUAAAUUAUAGCUGGACACAGAAGUCAUCCUGAGGACUCCAGGCUCAUAAUAUUGAGCAUUAUUUCCCUUUGGAAUACCACAGCAAAAGAAAGCAAUGGAGCUUCCUUGGGCUUGGUUCUCCUUUUUUUAGGAUACAAUAUUUGAAAUAGAAGCAGGAUAAUAUAUUUCAUAAAUGCAGGAGCAAGCCACAUUACAAUUGUGGCAACGUUAUAGUUUCAGUGUUCAGUGCAUAUAUACUGCACUGAUGGCAAUGGAGUGGUCCCAAAUUUAGCUCUGCAUUAAUCAAGCCAAGCAAGCCUUUGACUCAUGGGUUUUCCUGGCUAUUCAAGUACAUUAUUAGGCUGCAUCCAUACAGAGUGGAAAAAAAAAAAGAUGUCUCAAAAGCAACUCAGAGGUGGUAGCUGCCACAUGCUGGUAUUCCCACCCCACAUCUAAUUCACAUUGAAGUGCAUUUUCUGGCCUUCACUGUAGAUUACCUAUGGAAUAGGAAUACAAGCUGUCACAUGCUACCACUUCUAAACCACUACUGAGCUGCUUUUUUAACACAUGUGGAUGCAGUCUUAGGCUGUGGUCACACCUAGGUUUUCCAGCUUCAGUCCACCUUCAGAGUAGAAGUGAUUAGUCAUUUUCUUUCCACAUUAUCUAACCCCAAGGUGGAUUUUCUGAGUUAGAUAAAGCCAAAA